GACGAACGCUGACGGCGUGCCUAAUACAUGCAAGUAGAACGCUGAAGGAGGAGCUUGCUCUUCUGGAUGAGUUGCGAACGGGUGAGUAACGCGUAGGUAACCUGCCUGGUAGUGGGGGAUAACUAUUGGAAACGAUAGCUAAUACCGCAUAAUAACAGUUGUUGCAUGACAACUGUUUGAAAGGUGCAAUUGCAUCACUACCAGAUGGACCUGCGUUGUAUUAGCUAGUUGGUGGGGUAACGGCUCACCAAGGCGACGAUACAUAGCCGACCUGAGAGGGUGAUCGGCCACACUGGGACUGAGACACGGCCCAGACUCCUACGGGAGGCAGCAGUAGGGAAUCUUCGGCAAUGGACGAAAGUCUGACCGAGCAACGCCGCGUGAGUGAAGAAGGUUUUCGGAUCGUAAAGCUCUGUUGUAAGAGAAGAACGAGUGUGAGAGUGGAAAGUUCACACUGUGACGGUAUCUUACCAGAAAGGGACGGCUAACUACGUG
rnacentral:rRNA from 1 species